rnacentral:misc_RNA from 1 species
AUAAACUUACUAAUUAACAGAAAAUCUUACAGAUUAUGAACAGAGGAUCUACCAGUUGACUUAAUCAAAUGUGAGAGACUAAACUUAAUAAUUCUCAAAAUAUGAGGAUUAAAUUAGGAAUAAAAUCACAAAAUUAGGGAUUUAAUGAAUACAAAUUAGUAACAUUUGAAAAGGAAAAUGGCAAAAAAAUAGAUUUAACAAAAAAAUAAAUUUGUAGAAGGGGAGAGCUAUAACACUAUCCUCGCAAUUUUUCAAAUCAUGCACAUACAGGAAGAUUGGGAAAGGAAUGGCUUCACUUGAGAGAGUUUUCCUCAACUAUCCACAGCUAAAGUUUACACACAUGCCAAAGCUUCUGCAAGAAGGCUAUCAAUACCAAUUCACCCUUGUUUUCAAUUAGUACUAGAUGAGAGUAUGAUUUGAUGAUAUGAAGUUGUACAUUUAUUAGAUGUUGGAUACAACCGAUCUAUUGCAUUGAAUUGGACUAUAAUAUUAAAAAAAGGGUGACUUCGUGUACGAAACAUCUCAUUUUCCAAGGUUAAGCACAUAUCCUUUCAAAUCUUUGUUAUUAAUUGCUAUCCUCAUAAAGACUAACCUUAAGCCAAAAUAUUACCAUCCACAGGCAUUUAUGUCAAACAUAUCAUGGCAGCUCCAUCAACUUUUGCACUUAAUACAUGAUACAACAAAGCCAACUUGAUUCUCAAUUUACUCCAAUUGGUUGUACUGACAUUAAUUACAAAUCAGGAAAGAGGAAACUAUCCUGUAUUCACAUUUAUAAUUAUAUGGCUAAAUUUCUUACUUCUAAGCAUGUCUAGUAGUAAUGAAGUGGCAAGGGAAAGGAAGAAAAAAUAUUGCACAACUAAAUGACUUGGAGAAUGAUGUUUACCUACUUGGUCCAAAUUGUAGAGACUCUCUAGGCUGCAGAAGCUCGUGCUCUAUAGACUCGAAUUCUUUAAGAUUUCUUACUACAUUUUGAACUUUCUUGGAUAGCCGCUCACUAUGUUCUUCAACAAUUUUCAUAAAUGCAGUUAGCUGUUCUUGAUACGUGGCACAUAGGCGCUUCUUAUUCCGCAGCUCCAUGGUUAAUUCCUGAAUUUUCUUGUCCUUUUCACUCAUUGUUUGACGAGCUUCGCGUGGAGCCACUACAAGAGGAUGAUUAUGCUCCUUGACAAAUUUUGUUAUGAUCCACUUUCCAGACUUAUCAAACUUAACAUGAAUCAUUGCCUUACAACCUUCUCUUGUACUAGUACGUGGCUUUCGAACAUUCCCAAAUUUGCCUCGAAUGCUAACACAAUAACCCUCCUUAUUACAACCAAGUCGACGGGCAAGAAUUCUUCCAUCUCUUUCAGAACGACGACAAGACAUCACGCGCAUGACGAAUCCUACUUGCCGAGCAUAUUCAUCAUAAAAUAUCUUGGCAGCAUCUUCAGAUUCAAAUUCCAUACCUUCAUGUGGUUCUACAAUUGAAUCACCUCCUCGCACAAUAGAAUCACUGUCCUGUAAAACCAACUCUUGUCCAGCAGAGCUCUCUGCUAUUUCAAUUCCCUUAUCUAAAUCCACUGCCACAUAGCACCAUUCACUAUUAAAUUUAAAAUCCAUCUAAAAGUAUUCUUUAUCUUUAAAAUUUAAGUGAAAAAGCAAUAAGAAUACAGUAAAAUUAAAAUGCCCACUUUGUUUUUGACAAAAACCAAGUAAAGAAAAUCUUCAUUCCAAGUUAUCAUAAUCUCAGUAAACCACCAGUACCAGCCCAGCAAAUCCACCCAUCCACCAAAAUGAAUUAAAUUCUAUUUCGAACAAAUAAUUCCUCUGGUUUCUCUUGCAACAAAUUCAGAUUAUAUAUGAGCAAGCAAAUAUCGAUAAAGAAACAAAUUUCAAUAGUCUCUUCACCUCCUAACUAAUUUUUCAAACAGUUAAAGGGUACAAACAGCACCAUAUACACAAGAAAACCCAACAAAGCAGCAUCACAUAUUAACAAACUAUUAAACUGCAUCCAAAUCCAAACAAAAAACCAGCAGCUAAAACCAUCAAAUAGAUGCAAAUUACACUAUCCAAAAACUCAGAAGGGUUAAAAUUCAUCAUCGCUACAAAAGAAGCGCAAAACAACACAAACACGGACCCAAAUAGACCAAUCCAGUGAACUGAAAUCCGAGUUUGAUUAUAUGAACCUCAACCUACACUUCCCACCCAUAUCAGACUGAGCAUGGAAGGACCAAAACAAAUGUAGGGGCAAAAUGCAAUAGAGAGAUAGAAUAACGGGCAAAAGCUGAAUUACUGAAAAGUUUAGUGCCUUACUUGAUCCAAGGAUCAGAAUUGAAAGGCGUU